GUGGGAGCGGGCUUGCUCGCGAAUGCGGUGUGUCAGUCGACAUCAACUUUGACUGACACACCGCAUUCGCGAGCAAGCCCGCUCCCAC
rnacentral:misc_RNA from 1 species